UUUUUAUGGAGAGUUUGAUCCUGGCUCAGGAUGAACGCUGGCGGCGUGCCUAAUACAUGCAAGUCGAGCGAACAGAUAAGGAGCUUGCUCCUUUGACGUUAGCGGCGGACGGGUGAGUAACACGUGGGUAACCUACCUAUAAGACUGGAAUAACUCCGGGAACCGGG
rnacentral:rRNA from 1 species